UUUUUUUUUUUUUUUUUUAAUCUAUAUCUCCCACUACCUAAUGUCAUGCCUCCAAAAGAGAGUUUCUAGAUUCCUGUGCCAAUUCAGGCAUCAAGCACGAUUCCAGGAACCCACAGGCAACAGGAAAUUCUGUUGAAUGAAAUAGAUGGAUGGAUGGAUGGAUGGAUGGAUGGAUGGAUGGAUGAAUGAAUUUAAGGUAUCAGAGAUCUGCCUGUGAAAUCACAGAAGAAGUAAAUUCACUUUAAGGGCUUGGUUGUUUUUUAAAGCAGAAUGCAGGAGGGAGAUAACAUGAUCAGGUUUUUCCUCCACAAAUGAAAUGCCAUGGUUAAAAAGUAGUCAAUUACGAGCCACAUUGCCCUAAACUAAAUAAAAGUAUGUAUCGGCCCAUUCUCCUCACUUUUACAAAAGGAAUGAGAUCCCUGCUUCUAAUGUUCCAAGAAAUGGCUAGAGGUUGUUUGCAGGUCUGUUCGUUUAAAUAGGUGGACCCGUCUCUAUGGGCCGAUGUGGUCGGGCACCAUUCAAUCCCAGGACCUGGUAAAGCCCUGCGACUCCCCUCCACACUUGGAUUGAAAUAGAAAGAUGCUGAGUAUAUGACGUGAGUCGUCCUUUUAUGAGACAAAAAGAGGCAUCUGAGAGCACACACAGAGGCCCCUCUGAAACACUGAGCUUGAAAAGCAAAAAUCAAGAUGUCCUAAAGUUCAUUGAAAAAGAAUCAUCCUAAGGAUCUUAUUCCAAGAGAUCCCAACAAUCAUUAGGAAUUGACAGACAACUGCCAAGUACAUACAGACCCUAGGCGCCCCUUCAACCUGACGUCUUCUGUCCCAGUCUCACUUCUAGGUUUCCAAAUGCCAGAUUCUUCUCAGGUAAAUGGACCCAGAGAGGAUGCCUUCACAUAUUUUCCCUAUGCCAGGGUGACCUUCGGCGAACAAUGCGAAAAGUCGAUCUCCUUCACGCACCCAGAGCAUUUAUAAGCCUUGUAUACGUUCUAGUUAUAUAACAUACUGUGCCAAAGAAAAAUUGGGUUGACUUACCUCGGCCCCAGCCUUUUAUUCCCAGGCUGGGCUCACGUUUAUGUUGGGACCUAACAUUCAUGUUGGUUCAAUAUAAACAUCGGGUGCCAGCUUGAAGUAACUGUGUCACUAAUUACCGCUGAAUUACAGUGGAAAUCAUAUAGAAGUACUUCUAACAUUCAGGCUAAGACAAGAAGGAGUCCAUGUGAUUAAUGUUAUUAACAUAGCAUUCAGUUCAGUAAUAUAAAAUAAUGAUCCGGCUAUUAUAUUAAAGUGUUACUAAAUAUUCACUUAGCUCCAAAAAACACAGUGGGUGUGAGGUUUCUUUGUCGGAUUUGGAAUUUAAACAACGCUCUUUGUCAGAUUUAAGCCUGGUAUGAAGCCCCAACAAACAAAGUCGGCCUCCUAAAUGAAUGUUUACAGAGACAGAGAAAAUACCCACAGAAGGAACCAGUUUAUCAUAAACAAUACAAAUAUUUACUUGAUUAUUUAAUGGGUGCCCAGCAUGUCUGUCCUUAAUGUAGCAUUUGCUGACAUCAGGAACCCACCAUAUGUGCAAAUAAUUAAUUCAAAUUAUGCUUUUCUUCCAGUGAGUUCUCUUAGAAAGGAGCAGAAUUAAUGUAGAGGCAUUUUCAGGAGCGGGUUGUUGGAGGCCCUCUCUCCAUGUCUGUCUUGAUGGGUACCUAGUUUUUAAUACUUCAUCCUCAUUGUCAUUCCGCUGCCAAGAGCUGAUGGCAUUUGAAAUGCUCCUACAGUGUUCCUUAUGUAAUCAGUAGGAUGACUAACACAGCGAUUAAAAACCUGACUUGGCUAAAGAUUUUCUUAUGAGAUUAAGCUCUGGAUGCCCAAGAUCGCCGGAAAAAGUCCACCUCCUUUAACCACCACGACAACGGCAAAAUAAACGCCCUGCAAAUAUCAACAGCGGAGGAUCCAUCAUCCCCAGCCUUCAGGACGGGAAGGAGAAGCAGGCCAUUCCGGUGAACGUAAAGGGCUUCCAGUUAAGAUGCUUGAGGCUUAUUUAUAACGGAGACAUUCAAGCUCUAUGAAGGGAUUUCCUGUGGGCAAUUACGCCAUCUCUUUUCUCAUGAAUUAAUACGUGGCAAACGUUGGUUUGCAUGACAUUUCAAACAGCAGAACCCUCAGCAGAAGUGAUGUUCAGACACAGGGUGCUACAUUUAAAGUUGCGAGCAUUUAAACUGUCUAUUCGGGUCAUGUUCCUUCCAGGGAGGUUGCCUCAAGGCUCCUACCCUCCAACCACUCUGCAAGAAGGGAAGGUCUCGGGCUUCUCCACCACGCUCAUGACAUCAUGCUCUUACAUUCUUUUUUUUUUUUUUUCCUUUCUCUCUCUCUCUAAUUGUUCAGUUUAAGAAUAUUUGAGACUUUCCUCUUUCUGAGAAUAAUAAGGAAAAAAAAUCAAGGAUGAAUUUUCAACUUGCCUCUGAUGAGGAAAUUGGUCUUUCUGGAAAGCAAAUUAUUCCACUCCUAUUACGUAAUUAUUUAUAUUUAUAUUUAUAUUUAUAUUUAUAUAAAUAUAUAUAGUAUAUAUAUAAUUUAUAUAUAUAUAUAUAAUAUGUGUGUGUGUGAAGCGAGGGUAUAUGUAGCUACCAAUGUGUAUAUGUAUCACACACACUCUACGAUUUCUAUGUAUCGUAGGUUUGCUCUGAGGACUGAACUACACGACGCACAUAAUGUACGUGAAGUGACUGGAGCCAUAUCGUGGUAUUACAGUUACGAUCAUCAGGCUCUAUCUAGAGCAUUUGGCGCAGGGCUUGGUAUACUGUCAGCAUUCAACACUAACAGAUGAGUGAACAAUUACUAAUCCUCACAAUAUUCCUCACAAUAUUCCUAUACAUAACCAAGGUUAUGACCAAGGUUCAGAGAAGUUAGGUAGCUUGCCCAGGGCCACUUCUGACAAAUGCUGAAUCUAGGAUUUGAACCAGAUCUGUUUGAGUACAAAACGCUGGCCCUUUUCACCACCACCUGCUGUUCCUCAAAUAUCUGCAAUAACAAACUAAUGCAGAGACGGCACUGAAUCAUUGAUCUAUUUCAGAUUUCAACGGGGCUUAAAAGAGACAAAAAAGUCUACCACCAAAAUAAAGGGGGGGAAAUCUUCUUAUUUAAAAAUACCUUCGCAAAAAAAAAAAAAAAAUACCUUCGCAAGAUUUCUCAACAGUCUACAACUGACUGUAAAAAGUUAACAUUCAAAAUCAUAAACUUAUUCCCUGCCCAGUGACAUUUUCUUCUUGUCUAAUGAAUCUGUCUUUAAGAGGAAACUUCCAAAACUGAAACAAUAGCAGUGAUUGAGUAAUUCAUGGCUCAGUGCUAUAUUAGCAAUUAAUUAAAUCUACCCAGAAAUGCAGAGAAACCAGUCAUCUGCCCUAUAUUUAUUUUAUUUCAUUUCAUUUCCUGUAUCUUGUAUAUUCCCCAAAGCAAUUCUUUGCAGUAAUUUUACCUUCCAGGCACAAAUCUAAUAAUCCCUCUUGUUCUUAAGCAUCUCAGGUACAGCAGCAUUGUUAUUAUAUUAUUAAAUGUACAUCAGAUAAAUGCCAGUUGUGCUACGUUCUCCAAAACACCUUCUCCCCCACCCCAAUCACUCACUAUUUUUCAUAAGUAAGCAUCGAGGUCUUUAUUAACAAUCGUUUUUUUUUUUUUUUGAUGUAUGCUUCCACUUUUUUUCUUAUAAAUUUUGUUGCUAAUCACAGGAUUUAGUCAGGCUCCUAUGCACACUCACGACUCUGUAAUCUUAACAAGCUAUAUGCAGAUGAUUGACAGAUAAUACUUGACAGGUUCAAAAUUAGAGAAUAUACAGUGAAAAAUUCAGAACAGCCAGAUCACUUGGUAUGCUACACUUUUCCAAUUUUGGCUUCUCUCAUAAUCAUCCACUUGGGAGGGAGAGACAGUAAGAGAGAGAAAGGAUCUGAACAUUUCCUUACUCUCUGAUCUCCCAGAUGAAAACCUCUGGGCUUGAAGCAGCCUGAAAGAGCCAUUGGUCAGAAAUCACCUAACCGUGGGGCACCUGGGUGGCUCAGUCAUGAUCCUGGGGUCCUGGGAUCGAGCCCCACCUAGGGCUCCCUGCUCAGUGUGGAGUCUGCUUCUCUUUGUCCCUUUCCCCAACCCAUGCUCUCUCUCUCUCUCUCUCUCUCUCUCAAAUAAAUAAAAAAAAUCUUAAAAGAAAUCACCUAACCAAGUGUUGAAAUGCACCCCCUCAAUGAAAUGCAAUAGUAUUUGAAAUGCAAUAGUAACUCAAAAACAUGAUUCUUUGGCAUUUAAACCAAAUCACCAGCCUCUCCUUCCUCGAGCCAGCCGAAAGAGUCUUUGCACAUCUUUUAUUCAGUUUCAUUCAUUGAAGAGAGUUUAUAGUGUAUGUAGCAUUAUUCCUUAAAUUUUUAAUGAGAAAAGAAAUCAUGUCAUGUUUAUUGAAAUGAUUAGGCCAAUUUUUAUUGACUCUGUACAAUUUAUGUGAGAGCUGAUAUUUACCUGAAGCCUCUCCAUUCCGGAAAGGAUUGAUUGAUGACUUUCAACUAUAUUUGACUCAACUCCUGGUGAUCUAGCUUAAAAAAGGGGGGGGGGAUUUGUUGGGUAUUUUUACUGCUUUUAUCUUCUAUUUUAAGUCUCCUCACACCACCACCAACAGCAAAUAUUUUUCUCCUGGGUCAGAAGUGGGUGACACGAAACUCAUUCCAAUUAAACUAGCGGCAUUAAAUGUUCUGGAAGUGCAAAGGCCACACCUACCCAAACAGAUGCUACUCCAAAGACUUGUCCCUGGCUCAAGACAGUCUACUCUGCCCUCCCCAAGACCAAAAUUCUGAGGCUAGAUUCAGUCAACACCCCACUGUGAUGAAUUAGGAGCCAGCAAAACCUCACUGAGCAGGCCUUUCUUAGAGGUCAUUCGUGAGAGAAUUCCACUGAUACCAGCCAUGGGGAGGACGUUUUGUUCUCUGAAAUAAAAAUAAGUAUUUUCUUCCCUGUUCUGCUACCUUCCAACUCGGAUCAUGCUCACAAGAUGACAACUAUACUGGGAUUCCAUCCAGGAACAUUUUAGGAGGGGAGAAAUAAGUGCCUGAGGGAUCAUUAUUUGAUGUGCACACUUGUGGAGAAACCACAAGGCUGGAUGUUUUUAGCCUCCUGCUCUCUUCUGGUGUGUACAUUCAAAAUAGGUCAUAAUGGAUAAAACUGUUGAAAUGUGCCUUUCGUCCCUUGCAAAGCAACUGCUGUCAAGAGAAGCCUUUGGGUUCAUGGUUGGCCAUCAGUGACAGGAGCCCAAGGGUCAAUAACCAUUCUGUGGAAGGAGAAAUGGGUACCCAAGGAGGAAAUGGAGGUUGGACCAUCAGGAAACUCACAAGGGCAAAGGAGAGCCCCAAAUUUCCAUCAUUAGGGAAACGUACACUGACUCGGCAUACUUGGGACAAAUUAGUUUGGUUCAAAUUGCUUAGUUUAGAAUCCGGUUGAAAGAACAGACACAGAAAAAGUUCUGAUCCUGAGCGCCUGGGUGGCUCAGUUGUUGAGUGUCUGCCUUCGGCUCAGGGCGUGACCCCGGGGUCCUGGGAUUGAGUCCUCCAUCAGGCUCCCCUCGAGGAACCUGCUUCUCCCUCUGCCUGUGCCUCUGCCUCUCUCUGUGUGUCUUUCAUGAAUAAAUAAAUAAAAUCUUAAAUAAGGAGAAAAAAAAGAAAAAAAGAAAAAGUUCUGAUCCUCAAUAGCCACUUUAACUUAAAAGCACUUAUUAAAAAGCCUAAGUAAGAGUAGGUUCACACACUAGGAAAUUCUAAAUGAAAUGGGCCUUACCAUGAGCAAAUACAUCAGGAACCUGGUCAGGGAAGCCACGCCUCACUGCAAACAACUCCAGGGCCUUCGAUUAUGAAAGAGGGUAAUUCCAGGGGCACCCGGGUGGCUCAGUCGGUCAAGCAUCUGCCUUUGGCUCAGGUCAUGAUCCUGGGGUCCUGGGAUCGAGCCCCAUGUUGGGCUCCCUGUUCAGCAGGUUGCCUGCUUCUCCCAUUCCCUCUGCAGCUCCCCCUGCUUGUCUCUCUCUCUGUCUCUCUCUCUGUCUCUCUCUCUCCCUCUCAAAUAAAUAAAUAAUUUUUUUUUAAAAAAAGGGAAUAACUCCAGAUUUAGGCAGUAAUAAGAAAUUUAGAGGUUUAGAGGAAACAGUAGAGAGGCAGCAAAGGUAUCUUGAAAUGUCUGAAAAAGGUCUUCUCCUCUCUUGCUUGCUUCAAAGUAGAAGUUAAUGUCUAUAAACAUUCCUAUCGAGGAGACAUGUACCAAUAUCUAUACUGCCUUGAUGAGGGUAUUGUGGUUUCUUUGCUGCUGUAGGGGAAAGGAAAAAAAAAAAGCAAAUCUGGCUACUUUCAGCCUCCUUUUGUGCUCGAAGAGGUAGGUGGUGCUUUGGAACAACCCAGCAUGACCAGAAACUCUAAAACGCUCCAAUAAACAAGGACAAUCACUGUAAUCAUAUUCCAGCCCUUCCGGGAGGGUGGCUAGGAAUUUCAACCUUUUAUUCAAGGGACACAAAUACCUCCGCUUUCCAAAAUGCCACACUUUUGUACACUCACCUAUGGUUUCUACAUGGAGCAGAGAGAAAGCAAAAGACAGCAAAAUCCCGUAAGUAAGGUUUUUCUAAAAAUACCUUUGCACGACUUGCCAAAAUGACGGAGAUUUUUCCAAUUCACUUUCAAGUCACAGAAACCUAAAUGCUUUGCUGUAUGUUAAGAUGUCAGACGUGAAGCGUCUUAACCAGCUGGGUCAAAUGUGAGCGGAGCUACGGUAAGAAGUGAGUUCUCAGCGGCAUUUGCAUAAAAAUUGGGCGACUCCAAGUCACACCAGGCCAUCUGUUAAAGGGGCACUUUUUGAAGUACUGCACGAUUUUAGGGUAGCAGGCCUGAGCUCUGGACAGGACAGCCGCAGGGGGUGAAAAGAUACUCUCGAUGAGUGAUAAAGCUAUUUUGGAGCCAUGGUAACCUGCCUGCAAAUUUAGAACAUUAAAAAAAAAAAAAAAAAAAC
rnacentral:lncRNA from 1 species